rnacentral:rRNA from 1 species
AGUAACCAACCCUUUAGACUGGGAUAGCCACUGGAAACGGUGGGUAAUACCGGAUAAGCUCGAGAGAGGAAAGGCAGAGAAGCGCUAAAGGACGGAACUGCGCCCCAUCAGAUAGUUGGUGAGGUAAAGGCUUACCAAGUCAAAGACGGGAAACCGACGUGAGAGCGUGUACGGUCACAAGGGCACUGAGAGACGGGCCCUACUCCUACGUGAGGUAGUAGUGGGGAAUAUUGGACAAUGGACGAUAGUCUGAUCCAG